rnacentral:vault_RNA from 1 species
GCGCUGGUGUAGCUCAGUGGUUACUUCCUACAACAAACCCGAACGGGUUUGCUGUUCAAAGCUUUCGGGAUUGAACCCCGGUCGCCAUCCAGUGUUUUU